AAUCAACGCUGGCGGCGUGCCUCAGACAUGCAAGUCGAACGCGAAAGGUUCCUUCGGGGACCGAGUAGAGUGGCGCACGGGUGAGUAACACGUAGGUAAUUUGCCUUUGGGUGGGGAAUAACUCAGGGAAACUUGAGCUAAUACCGCAUAAUGCAGCGGCUCGACAUCGAGACAGUUGUUAAAAGCGGGGGAUUCGCAAGAACCUCGCGCCUAAAGAGAAGCCUGCGGCAGAUAGCUAGUUGGUAAGGUAAUGGCUUACCAAGGCGACGAUCUGUAACCGGCCUGAGAGGGCGGUCGGUCACACUGACACUGACAUACGGGUCAGACUCCUACGGGAGGCAGCAGUCGGGAAUUUUGGGCAAUGGGCGAAAGCCGACCCAGCAACGCCGCGUGAAGGAUGAAA
rnacentral:rRNA from 1 species